ACUGGGAGCUGCUCUGAUGCCACCUUUUAAUUACAGGAACCAUUAAAGAGAUCCUGGGGACUGCCCAGUCUGUGGGCUGCAAUGUUGAUGGCCGCCACCCUCAUGACGUCAUAGAUGACAUCAACAGUGGCGCAGUGGAAUGCCCAGCUAGUUAAGAAGUACAAAGGAAAAUAUUUUAAUAAAGGAUCCUUUGACUACCGUC